UACGUAGGAGGCAAGCGUUGUCCGGAAUUACUGGGCGUAAAGCGCGUGUAGGUGGUGGGACAAGUCUGCUGUGAAAGCGCCUGGCUUAACCGGGCGAGGUCGGCGGAAACUGUUCGACUCGAGGACGGUAGAGGGGGGUGGAAUUCCCGGUGUAGUGGUGAAAUGCGUAGAGAUCGGGAGGAACACCCGUGGCGAAGGCGGCUGCCU
rnacentral:rRNA from 1 species